CCCUUGGACGUUCUGGGCCGCACGCGCGCUACACUGACGAAGGCAACGAGCUUUCCUUUACCGAAAGGUACGGGUAAUCUUUUGAAACUUCGUCGUGCUGGGGAUAGAUCCUUGCAAUUAUUGAUCUUAAACGAGGAAUUCCUAGUAAGCGCAAGUCAUCAACUUGCGUUGAUUACGUCCCUGCCCUUUGUACACACCGCCCGUCGCUACUACCGAUUGAAUGGUUUAGUGAGGCCUUCGGAUCCGCGACUCGUUUUGUGGAGAAGUUGGACAAACUCAGUCAUUUAGAGGAAGUAAAAGUCGUAACA
rnacentral:rRNA from 1 species